AAACUAAUGUGGCUAAAAUUGAGACACAGGUCAUGCUUUCAUCACAGUAAAUAUUUACAGUAGUGACAAUGAGGCCUGUCACGUUU
rnacentral:snoRNA from 1 species